GUUUUAAUAGCUUAAGGGGUAGAGCGUAGCACUGAAGCUGCUAAGGUAGAAGUAAUUUUUUAAAACA
rnacentral:tRNA from 1 species